rnacentral:rRNA from 1 species
UGAGGAAUAUUGGUCAAUGGGCGCGAGCCUGAACCAGCCAAGUCGCGUGAGGGAUGACGGCCCUACGGGUUGUAAACCUCUUUUGUCGGGGAGCAAAUUCCGCCACGUGUGGCGGAGUCGAGAGUACCCGAAGAAAAAGCAUCGGCUAACUCCGUGCCAGCAGCCGCGUAAUCUCACUGU